GACGAACGCUGGCGGCGUGCUUAACACAUGCAAGUCGAACGGAAAGGCCCUGCUUUUGUGGGGUUCUCGAGUGGCGAACGGGUGAGUAACACGUGAGUAACCUGCCCUUGACUUUGGGAUAACUUCAGGAAACUGGGGCUAAUACCGGAUAGGAGCUCCUGCUGCAUGGUGGGGGUUGGAACGUUGCGGCGGUUGGGGAUGGACGCGCGGCUUAUCAGCUUGUUGGUGGGGUAGUGGCUUACCAAGGCAUUGACGGGUAGCCGGCCUGAGAGGGUGACCGGCGACCUUGGGACUGAGAUACGGACCAGACUCCUACGGGGGGCAGCAGUGGGGAAUAUUACACAAUGGGCGCAAGCCUGAUGAGGAAACGCCCCGUGCGGGAUGACGGCCUUCGGGUUGUAAACAGCUGUCGCCUGUGACGAAGCGUGAGUGACGGUAAUGGGUAAAGAAGCACCGGCUAACUACGUG
rnacentral:rRNA from 1 species